rnacentral:rRNA from 1 species
UACGAAGGGGGCUAGCGUUGCUCGGAAUCACUGGGCGUAAAGGGUGCGUAGGCGGGUCUUUAAGUCAGGGGUGAAAUCCUGGAGCUCAACUCCAGAACUGCCUUUGAUACUGAGGAUCUUGAGUAUGGGAGAGGUGAGUGGAACUGCGGGUGUAGAGGUGAAAUUCGUAGAUAUUCGCAAGAACACCAGUGGCGAAGGCGGCUCACUGGCCCAUUACUGACGCUGAGGCACGAAAGCGUGGGUAGCAAACAGG